rnacentral:ncRNA from 2 species
AGAGGAAGCCCGGUGCGAAUCCGGCGCGGUCCCGCCACUGUGACCGUCCCGCGCACGCGCGGGACGGGAGUCAGGAACUC